rnacentral:rRNA from 1 species
AACGAACGCUGGCGGCAUGCCUAACACAUGCAAGUCGAGCGGCAGCGGGACCUUCGGGUUGCCGGCGAGCGGCGGACGGGUGAGUAAUGCCUAGGAAUCUGCCUGUUAGUGGGGGAUAACGCGGGGAAACUCGCGCUAAUACCGCAUACGUCCUACGGGAGAAAGUGGGGGACCUUCGGGCCUCACGCUAACAGACGAGCCUAGGUCGGAUUAGCUAGUUGGUGGGGUAACGGCCCACCAAGGCGACGAUCCGUAACUGGUCUGAGAGGAUGAGCAGUCACACUGGAACUGGGCAACGGUCCAGCCACCUACGGGAGGCAGCAGUGGGGAAUAUUGGACAAUGGGCGAAAGCCUAAUCCAGACAUGCCGCGUGUGUGAAGAAGGUCUUCGGAUUGUAAAGCACUUUAAGCCGGGAGGAAGGGCUGUAGGCGAAUACCCUGCAGUCUUGACGUUACCGGCAGAAUAAGCACCGGCUAACUUCGUGCCAGCCGCCGCCGUAAGAC